rnacentral:rRNA from 1 species
GACGAACGCUGGCGGCAUGCCUAAUACAUGCAAGUCGAGCGAACAGAUGAAGUGCUUGCACUUCUGACGUUAGCGGCGAACGGGUGAGUAACACGUAAGGAAUCUACCUAGAAGCGGGGGAUAACAUUCGGAAACGGGUGCUAAUACCGCAUAAUAGCUUCUUCCGCAGGGAAGAAGAUUGAAAGACGGCUCGGCUGUCACGUAUAGAUGACCUUGCGGUGCAUUAGUUAGUUGGUGGGGUAAUGGCCUACCAAGACGAUGAUGCAUAGCCGACCUGAGAGGUUGAUCGGCCACAUUGGGACUGAGACACGGCCCAAACUCCUACGGGAGGCAGCAGUAGGGAAUCUUCCGCAAUGGGCGAAAGCCUGACGGAGCAAUGCCGCGUGAGUGAAGAAGGCCUUCGGGUCGUAAAACUCUGUUAUAAGAGAAGAACAAAUUGUAGAGUAACUGCUACAGUCUUGACGGUAUCUUAUCAGAAAGCCACGGCUAACUACGUGCCAGCAGCCGCGGUAA